GAUGAACGCUGGCGGCGUGCCUAAUACAUGCAAGUCGAGCGAACGGACGAGAAGCUUGCUUCUCUGAUGUUAGCGGCGGACGGGUGAGUAACACGUGGAUAACCUACCUAUAAGACUGGGAUAACUUCGGGAAACCGUAGCUAAUACCGGAUAAUAUUUAGAACCGCAUGGUUCAAAAGUGAAAGACGGUCUUGCUGUCACUUAUAGAUGGAUCCGCGCUGCAUUAGCUAGUUGGUAAGGUAACGGCUUACCAAGGCAACGAUGCAUAGCCGACGUGAGAAGGGGAUCGGCCACACUGGAACUGAGACACGGUCCAGACUCCUACGGGAGUCAGCAGUAGGGAAUCUUCCGCAAUGGGCGAAAGCCUGACGGAGCAACGCCGCGUGAGUGAUGAAGGUCUUCGGAUCGUAAAACUCUGUUAUUAGGGAAGAACAUAUGUGUAAGUAACUGUGCACAUCUUGACGGUACCUAAACAGAAAGCCACGGCUAACUACGUG
rnacentral:rRNA from 1 species